rnacentral:lncRNA from 1 species
AGAAAACAAUACGGCUACUGAGCAUCCAAAUAAAAGGUUGAAAUCCGCUGCAUGGAGCCAUUUUAAUCCCAUUUAAAUUGAUGGUGUUCGCAGAUGGACAAAGUGCAAAUACUGCAAAAAACAAUUGACUGGUAGAUCUAAUGAUGGAACAACACAUUUGAAAGAUCAUUACAGGAUAUGCCUUAGGAAAAAUACAAGGGACAUUAGGCAACAUAUAUUAGUUCAAGGGCAAAAAACUAUUGAUGGUAAAGCUUAAAUGAGUACGUAUUCCUUUGAUGCUGAAGUAUCUAGAGAUGAACUAGCAAAGAUGAUUAUAAUUCAUGACUAUCCACUCUCCAUUGUUGAGCAUUAUGGUUUUCGAAAGUAUACUGAAAGUCUUCAACCUUUAUUUAAGGUGCCUGAUAUGUGCAUAUUUAGUGUGUAUUUAGUAUAGUUUUUUAUUCAUAUAUNUUUAUUCAUAUAUUAGCUAAAUUGUUGCAUAUUAUGGACAAAAGGUACUUAAAAGUGUUAAAUUGUGUUUUUCAGUCCAAAGAUGAAGCUCGGAAGCGAAAGGAAGCAAGAGAAGCGGUUGAGAGCUCAAGAGUGGAAAGAAGAAAGAAAACAGCCAAAAUAAGGCUUCUACUCGUCGAGUUAUCUCUUGACUCGACGAGUCCGGUCGCGGAUUCAGAGAGAUAAGCAUUCGGAAGUCAAGACAGUUAUCAGGUUACGACUAAUGUGAGAGGGACUCGACGAGUCACCACUUGACUCGACGAGUCGAACCGCUUAUUUAAAGAUAAUUCCACAGAUCGAGAGAAGGGAAUUUCUGGAAAGUUUCAGAGAGGUGAAGCUGCGAAUAAGAAGCCAGAAGAACCCUAGAAGUCGACCAAAGAAGCUAGAUCAAAUUCCGGGAGUAAUUAAGGCGUAAUUUCAUCAUUCUACUUAAUUCUCUUGUUUUGUCAAUAUGAUUAAGCAACUUGAACUUAUUUGUUUGCUGUUAUUCACCUUAGUUAUGAACUAAUUUCUUUAUACUUCUGUUUGGGGAUACAAAGUUGACAAUAUGGUUUGAUUGAUUGGUAGGAUUAAUUCUAAGUUGGUGAUUAAUUGUUAUAUUAGCUUGCUAAAGAACCUUGUGUAUGAAUGAUAAUUUAUUUUCUGUUAAUAGGAAGAUAGUUAAUUAGCAUGAACAUCUAUUAAUUAUCAACCUCAUAUGAUAAGUGACCACUAAAUCAUAUGUCUAGGAUUAAUGAAUAUGAAACUAGGAUUAAUAAGUAAAUUGAGUAAAUUCAUGUGCAAGCUUGUAAGAUGACUAUUGAACAAGAGGUUAAUUAAAAAUAACAAUUUAAUUAGCUAUUGCAAGUCUAACUUAACCCGAAUAAUUAAUCUAGUAAAUAUAAUUAAGUUAAGCAAUUGGCCACUGUUUGAAUUAGUUUAUUUGCUAAGGAUUAGGGUAGUGAACACAACUUAAUCACUUGAAUCGGUAACCAACGAAAGAAUUAAUCCAUUGCACUAUUACCUUAAAAGCAACCAUAAAGUUAACCGAGUUGAACUAAACAGAAGUUUCUUUCCCAUUAUUGAAUCUAGUUAAUUUGUUCUUUUCUAGCCUUGCAUUAGUUUUGUUUAAUAAGUUUCUAGUCUUGUAAAACUAGAGAAAAACCCUUAUUUGCUAAAGUAAUUUAGAUAGAAUUAGUUUUUAAUUUAAUUUGCCGUUCCCUGUGUUCGAUACCCUACUUGCUUGAACUAUACCACAAUUGAUAGGUUCACUGCCUUUUGUGUGUUAUUUGAUAAUUAAAGUAGGAUUAAAACUAAGUGAGUUUUACACACAUCAAGUUUUUGGCGCCGUUGCCGGGGAACGGUUCUAAAAUUAGCAUUAAAUUCUAAUUCAAUCGACCCUUUGUGUAAGAUUCAUCUUACGCAAAGUUAAUUUCUGUUCAAUUUUUGUUUAAGUAAAAAAAAAAAACUGAUUUUCACGUGAACUCGCCGAGUGCAUUCGCCCCGACUCGGCGAGUCUGACGCUGAAUCAGAUUAAAUUUUUGUUCUUUUUUACGCGUUCUGUUUUGUUUUAAGUUGCAGUUAGUUCAUGACCCGAGGAUCUUCUACACCUCUAAUUCCUCCUCUUGAAGAUCCGGAAACCGCAUUAAGAAGAAACAAGGGCAAAACCGUUGGAGAAACCACCUCUUCAAAGAACUCACCACUCAAAAACUUCAAAUCCGUGUUUGGCAAGAAGAGGAGCAGCAAAGCAGGAGCAUCCAGUGCGUCGUUGUCAACCGAAGAUCCGAUCCCGAAAGACACCGAAUACGAGACCGAAGAAGAAAGCGAGCACACAUCCGAUAUUGAAGAAGACUUAGCCACCGCAAUGGCUAAUAUUGACGAGAUCCCCAUGGGGGAGUGGAAGAAAAGGAUGCGUGAUGACACCGGCCCGGGACUUGUGCAACCCGCAAUCCCCGCUACCGCUACGUUCGAACUAAAGGGCCAUAUUCUCGCUCAACUCAAGGAGAUACCAUUUCACGGGAGAGAUCAUGAAGACGCCUAUAAGCACUUAGAUGAAGUAAAUGACGUGGCGGAUUACUUCAAUGUACCUAAUGUGCCCCGCGAGGUCCAGCUACUACGCAUGCUUCCUGUCACGUUCAAAGGAGCUGCAAAGGAUUGGUUGAAGUCACUCCCUCCCGGAUCAGUUACUACAUGGGCGAAAAUGAAAGAAGAGUUCAUAGAUCACUUCUGCCCACCUUCCAAAAUAGCCAAGCUAAAGAAAGCCAUUGCCAACUUCGAGCAACAACCCGGAGAAUCUCUUUAUGAAGCUUGGGAAAGGUACAAGAGCCUACUUAGAAAUUGCCCACACCAUGAUCUAAAUAGCCAACAGGAGGUCUCCAUCUUUUAUGAUGGAGUAAAUGUCACCACAAGGCAACUACUCGAUUCACAAGGCCCGCUCACCCGAAAGCCACCUCCGGAAAUAAAGGAAUUGAUUGAAGAAUUCUCUAAGCAUUCUAGAGAAUACCACAACCCGAGGAAUGAAGUGAGUCGUGGAGCAGUAAACUCAGUGAACGAUGGCAUGGCGGCGGUAAUAGCUAAACUCGAUAGCCUAGACCGAAGAAUGACGAAAAUGGAUCAAACGAUCCAUGCUAUUAGGGUAGGAUGCGAAAAUUGUGGCGGCCCCCAUCUUACAAAGGAUUGUGAUCGAGACGAGAAUGGAAAUAAAAAGGCUCAAGUAUUUUAUUCCAGUGGCGACAGAUAUGAUGAAGACUGGAGGAAACCGAAGAAGGAGUGGCUCCCAUACGAAGAGUACAGAAAGGCUAAGGAAGAAAAAUAUAAGCAGAGGGAGAGGGGUUAUUAUCAAAAGGAGGAACCGGUGACGGACAAGAAGACGAACUUAGAAGACAUACUUACAAAAUUCAUAAGCGCGUCCGAGAAAAGGCAUAAUGAUCAUGAUGUGGCAAUGCAGGAAACCAGAAACAUGUUGAAGAAUCAGCAAGCUUCUAUUCUCAACAUAGAGAAACAACUGGGCCAACUUGCACAUCAAGUAAACGAAAGAAGACCGGGUCAACUUCCGAGCAACACCGAGCCCAAUCCAAGAAAGGAGAACGUGAGCGUAAUAACCUCCAGCAGUGAAGAAGAAUUGGCAGAAACACUAAGGGUUUCCAAAGGGAAGGCAGAAAAGGAAGAAGAACCAGAACGAGAAGAACUCGAUCCGACUCGCCGAGUCACCAAAAUGGACUCGACGAGUCCAGUCGGGAAGGAUAAAAAAGCAAGUUUUCUGAAGACAUACAACCCUCCUUUGCCAUACCCAUCCAGAGCCAUUCCUUCAGAAAAAGUUCAAGCCUAUAGAACCUUCAUGGAGCAUGUUAAAGCCUUACAAGUCAAUAUGCCAUUCGUGGACACAAUGCUCCAAACUCCCAAAUACUUUAACUUGCUUAAGGGUUUGUUUGCUGCCAGGAAAGAUCUUGCUGAAGUCGCGGAGAUAUUGAUGAGUGAGCUACCUGAGAAGAAGGGUGAUCCGGGUAAUAUAGUAAUCCCGUGCCAAUUUGGCAAUGAUGUUUCCACACGAGCUUUGGCUGAUUCAGGGGCAAGCAUUAAUUUGAUGCCCUAUUCAUUCUUUAAGAAGCUAAAUUUACCAGCGCCAAAGCCGGUAAAUAUGAGAAUCCAUUUGGCAAAUAAAACAAUUAUUCAUCCACAAGGCAUAUGUGAAAAUCUCCUUAUCAAAGUAGACAAGUUUAUCUUCCCAGUAGACUUUGUGGUGGUGGAGAUGAAAGAAGACCCCGAAAUACCAAUUAUUUUGGGCAGAACAUUCUUAAACACCGCAUGUGCCCUAAUUGACAUAUCCGAGACUACUUUGACAUUAAGAGUGGGUGAUGAGUCGGUGAUGUUUAAAGCUAAUCCAGAGAUCAAGCAAGAAGAAGAAAAGCGAGAAGAAAUCUCAUUUAUCCAAUUAGAUGAUGAGGUAUUGCAAAAAGAGCUUGAUAUUUUAUUAAAAGAAGACCCAAGUAAGUUCACGCUACACUCAGAAGAAGUUUCAGAUGCUGACAAAGACUUGGAGGAGCUAGAAAAGCUACUGGAAGGAGCCGACUCAGACAACGAUCCAGAAUUGAUGAAACCCGACCCGACUCGCCGAGUCGACAUAAUGGACUCGACGAGUCCAGUUGAUUUGGAGAAAAACUUAACUCAAGCUGAUUUAUUUGUUGACAGUUCUUCACAUACCCUGGAUUCAGUUACUGUGAGUGGUUCUUUGGAAGAACAAUCUGCAGAAAAAGUAAAAGGAAUGGAGGUCCAACACGCCAACGUGGCAUGCCUUGAUAUGAUGCCAUUUGGAAAAGAGUCGAGCACAAAAGAGAAUGAAGCCAUAAAUGGAAGCGGAGCGGAAGCUGAUCCCCAAUUCACCACUAAACCUAGAGCACGGACCAAUAUGAAGUAUGAAGUUAUCAAAUUUAAAGAAAAGGAGGUUCAAAAAUUGGUGAAAAAGCAUGGGUUGAAAAAGAAGAAGAGGAAAAGAGAGGCCCAACCAGCUGAGGAUGAUACAGCGAAAAAGAGAAGAGACGAAUUGAAAAGGGCUUACAAGAAAAAGAUUCACGCCUACAAGACUAAGUAUAAACCGCAAAAAGUACGGCGCACAUUCCCGAUGCUUGAAGGCGACAAAACGUAAAUGGGAAGGAGUCUAGCUAAUGACUCCUCAAAAAGAAGCGCUUGGCGGGAGGCAACCCGUCGUUAGAGUUUGCUUUCUUUUACUCUUUAGUUUUUUUUCAUUUAUUGUUUUUGUUUUGUGUUUUAAUGUUAAUCUUCCAAAUCAUCGAACUUGUCUGCUUAAGGGAGCACCUAGCUUAAGAGUGGGGUGAGAAUAUUUUCAAUAAAUAACAAAAUUUCAAAAAUUAGAAAUGUUUUAUAAACGACUCGCCGAGUCUGACCCUGACUCGACGAGUACAUACUGAUCUCAGAAAAAAUUUUAACUGCUCGCUGGGACUCGCCGAGUCUGACCCUGACUCGACGAGUCGAGCUUAUUUACAGAAAAAAAAAAAAAAUUUUCGAAAUUACUUUUACAUGUAAUAGGGUUUUAACCCUAAAAGUUCAAUUUUCACAUUACACUCGCCGGGUACACUUCUCUCUCAAGCAUUCAAGACUUCUUCAACCUCUCUUCCAAAUCUUCAAGAAUUAAACUAGAAAGGUGACAACUUUCUUCUUGUUUUCUAGAUAGAAAGUGAUAUUAAGGCCAUCUACACUUGCAGUUUCAUGAAAAAAACCCGUUUUUGAAAUAGUGACUAAAUUCUAGGUUUUUGAUUUUAUCAUGGAUCUUGUUGUUUUGAAUGUUUAUUAUGGCCUUGGUACUUGGUAGGAAGUCCCUGAACAAAACCCUUGCAAGAAUUUAGAGAUUACAUGGUUCAAUUUGGUGAAACCCGUCGACUGACUCGUACAGGUCCCGCGACUCGCCGAGUCGGGCAUGGACUCGACGAGUCUAGUCGAGAUGCAGAAACAGUUCGGCUUGUUAACAUUCUGUGUUUUCUGGGUAUGGUUUAUAUGUUUUGCAGGAAUCAUGUUUAGAAGAGGACAAUCUUCAAGGGGUAGCCAAGAGGAAUUUCCAUGGUUAAACUUCCCGCAAAUCGAGUCCGUUUCAACAAUGCGGAAGUGGAAAAAGAAGCUUGCCGAUAUUAAAAAGAAGGAGGUUUAUGUCCCGAACAGAAUAGAUUGGGAAUGGUUGCAAACGGUGCGAUAUGAAGAAGAAUUAGCUCCAUACCUUUUAAGGGAGUUUCAACAUGGCGGCGAGUCAAUGAUAUGUGAUGGAUGGAGCCGGGUCUUCCGCAUGCAAGAGCCGGUGUAUUUGGAGCUUUGCUUGGAGUUCUUUUCCACGGUAUCUUUUACCGGUGGAGUGGAUUUGUAUCAUCCGGCAAGUUUUACAUUUUGUCUUGGGGGCGAGUAUCAUCAAUGCUCGGUGGUGGAUCUUGCUUGCCGGCUAGGGAUCUAUGAUCAACCGUUGGUUUCUACGAACCUCUUUCGGGCCUUUUUGGCAACCACUCACAUGGUGUUUCCCGAUGGGGUUACUAGCACGGGUUGGUGGCACACUAUUGGGAAUAAAGUUUAUAUCCCGAAGUCCGCGCAGGAAGGGAGCAUCCGAUCCCCGACCCACCGCCUCAUUCACCGCCUUAUUUCCUCCACCAUCAACCAAAGGAAGGACGAUGACAAGGUCUCCAACCUUGAUGUUUUCUACUUAUGGAGCAUAAUAACACCCGGCGUCUUUUGCAACAUUCCAUGGUGUAUUGCUUCAUACCUCUCAGCGGGUGCGGUCAAAGAUCGCAAAACAUCGCGCAUCAAUGGAGGCAUGUUUGUCACCCGUUUGGCUAAUUCAUUCGGGUUGAUGAACCGUGGUGCCUGGAACCUCAUGACUUUGAUCCCGACACCCCCAUUUAAUCCUAUUCUUUUCCGCAGGGCCCGAAUUAUUGAAGACUAUGGUGGUGGCCAUUAUGCCAUCCCAAAUGAUGACCCGGUUGUAGGUCCUGAAGCACCGGGAAGGAGGGUGAGACCGAGAAGAGAACGGGAUAUGGAGGAUGAGCCGCCGGUGAUUCCGGUAGAGAAUGAAGAUGUACCAAUGGAUUGGUACAACAUAGAGAUGAGGCGGAUGCAAGACCAAAUGGCGCGGGGGCUAAAUUUUAGCAAUCAAUCCCACAUACGACUUUUUGACCACUUCAAUAUUCCACAUAUUGAUGGUGGGAAUUAUCCAUAUAUUCCAUCGUGGGACGAGAGGAUUAGUGCACGCCAUAGCGGAGCGGGAGGAAGUGGAGCCAAUAACGAUGAUGAGGAGGAUGAGGAUUAAUUUUUGUGUUUUUGUGUUUAAACAAUUUGCAUUUUUAUUUUGUUUUAUUUUUGGUGUGUAUGCUUUAAGAUAUUAUUUUGUUUAAUAGUUGUUUGCUUUAAGUAUUUUCAGGAUUGCAUUUUGAUUGCUUAGGAUGAGGUAAAGCAUGGUUGUUUUUCGUGUGAGAGCGAGUCAAGGAAGCGAGUUUUUAACAUCAAAGUGUCAAGUCCGGUCUUAGGAGUAUGAGCAAUUGAGUCCAAAUGUGAGGAAGGGUUAAAGAAGUUUUUAGAAGCUAAAACAGUUGCAAAAUACCAAAAUUUUUCGUUCAGUGGCCUACUCGACGAGUGCACUAAGUAGACUCGCCGAGUCGCCUUGUAAUUCUACAUAUUCUGAGAAGGCGCGCUGGUACUCGACGAGUCCAUCAUAAGACUCGACGAGUCGAUCAUCUUUUACACCGAUGGACUGCUGAUUUAAUGCUGCUACUAGUCCCACUUGCUCGCUUAUUCUUCCAUUUCCAUUCUUGAAGAUCUUAUGCCGAUUUUCGCAUGUUUAGAGCAACCCACACGAUACAUGGAAGAGCUGUUCUCAUGUAUGAAGUUUAUUGAAGAUGGAGCUUAAAUGAGAGUGAUCAACCUAUCCACUACUAUCCCAGGGGAGUUUGUUCCGAUUCCCUCUUUAUUUUUAUGUUUCUAUGCAUAGUAUGCAAUGAGGGCAUUGCAUCACAUAAGUGUGGGGUAGGGGGUUGGUUACAUAAUAGUCAAUUUUAAAAAAAAUUUUGCAUACCAAAAGUAUUAUUUAGGAUUUAAUUAGAAAAUUUUGGUAAAAACUAGGAUUCCAUGUUAGAUUGUGUUAAUAAUUGCAUGACAACCCAAAUGUUUAGUUGAGCCUAUAUACGUUCUAGUGCAUUUGUGGCCUCCUUAUUCUAGUGAAAUCAUGAGACAAAAACACGACCUCGCUCAGCCUGAGGGAUGCAAUAUGUUUAGCAGCCUAAACCUGAAAUGUAUCCAGGAAAAUUUUUAUCAUUAGCCAAUAAAGGUUGAGAUUGAGCGCCCUUGCUUAAGCAUGUAGGAUUUGAGUGAAAAAAAAAAAAAAAAAAGAAGUGAGAAAUACAUUAAAAAAAAAAAAGAGAGAAAAAAUUACAAGAAAAGUUAUAAGAAUUUUGGAGCAUCAAAGUUAAGUAUGAAGUUCAAAGAUCAAAAUUCCAAAAAUCCAAAAAAGUUGAAGAUACCAAAAGCUAGUACAAGUUGGUGAAUUCAAAGAUAUCAAAGAUGAAAUGUUCGAAGAAGUGAAGAAUUCAAAGAAUUCCAUAGUGGUAUCGGAUAAAUUGUAAUUUUCUAGAAUAUGUAUGCUUGGGUUGCUCGAUUAAAAAUACCUUGAGGUUAAGAGGUUUUCUGAGGAUGGAUUCGGAGGGUUGCAUAAAAUGAGCAUAGUUCGGGGUGAGUGGGUGAAUGUUUAUGAGGAUUGUGAGUAUUUGGAAUAUGGGGGGUUCUUUAGGAAAAAUUUUAGACACAAAUGCAUGCGUUGCGGUCUUGGCGUAAUGACUGGGUUGGAUUGGAGUUAUUAUAUGUGAUUCUAAUGUGUUAAAAUUCAGUUUUGCUUGAGGGCAAGCAAAAGACAAGUGUGGGGUAUUUUGAUAUGUGCAUAUUUAGUGUGUAUUAAGUGUAGUUUAUUAUUCAUAUAUUAGCUAAAUUGUUGCAUAUUAUGGACAAAAGGUACUUAAAAGUGUUAAAUUGUGUUUUUCAGUCCAAAGAUGAAGCUCGGAAGCGAAAGGAAGCAAGAGAAGCGGUUGAGAGCUCAAGAGUGGAAAGAAGAAAGAAAACAGCCAAAAUAAGGCUUCUACUCGUCGAGUUAUCUCUUGACUCGACGAGUCCGGUCGCGGAUUCAGAGAGAUAAGCAUUCGGAAGUCAAGACAGUUAUCAGGUUACGACUAAUGUGAGAGGGACUCGACGAGUCGCCAUAUGACUCGACGAGUCGGUAUGCAUAUAUAAAGAUAACUCUUUAAUGCGAAAAAGAGAGAAUUCUGGGAAGUUUCAGAGGUGUUAAGCUGCGAAUAAGAAGCCAGAAGAACCCUAGAAGUCGACCAAAGAAGCUAGAAUCCAAUUCCGGGAGUAAUUAAGGCGUAAUUUCAUCAUUCUACUUAAUUCUCUUGUUUUGUCAAUAUGAUUAAGCAACUUGAACUUAUUUGUUUGCUGUUAUUCACCUUAGUUAUGAACUAAUUUCUUUAUACUUCUGUUUGGGGAUACAAAGUUGACAAUAUGGUUUGAUUGAUUGGUAGGAUUAAUUCUAAGUUGGUGAUUAAUUGUUAUUUUAGCUUGCUAAAGAACCUUGUGUAUGAAUGAUAAUUUAUUUUCUGUUAAUAGGAAGAUAGUUAAUUAGCAUGAACAUCUAUUAAUUAUCAACCUCAUAUGAUAAGUGACCACUAAAUCAUAUGUCUAGGAUUAAUGAAUAUGAAACUAGGAUUAAUAAGUAAAUUGAGUAAAUUCAUGUGCAAGCUUGUAAGAUGACUAUUGAACAAGAGGUUAAUUAAAAGUAACAAUUUAAUUAGCUAUUGCAAGUCUAACUUAACCCGAAUAAUUAAUCUAGUAAAUAUAAUUAAGUUAAGCAAUUGGCCACUGUUUGAAUUAGUUUAUUUGCUAAGGAUUAGGGUAGUGAACACAACUUAAUCACUUGAAUCGGUAACCAACGAAAGAAUUAAUCCAUUGCACUAUUACCUUAAAAGCAACCAUAAAGUUAACCGAGUUGAACUAAACAGAAGUUUCUUUCCCAUUAUUGAAUCUAGUUAAUUUGUUCUUUUCUAGCCUUGCAUUAGUUUUGUUUAAUAAGUUUCUAGUCUUGUAAAACUAGAGAAAAACCCUUAAUUGCUAAAGUAAUUUAGAUAGAAUUAGUGUUUAAUUUAAUUUGCCGUUCCCUGUGUUCGAUACCCUACUUGCUUUAGCUAUACCACAAUUGAUAGGUUCACUGCCUUUUGUGUGUUAUUUGAUAAUUAAAGUAGGAUUAAAACUAAGUGAGUUUUACACACAUCAGUGCCUUGUCGUAAUACAGUCAAGGACGAUAUAAUG